GAGUUUGAUCGUGGCUCAGGAUGAACGCUGGCGGCGUGCUUAACACAUGCAAGUCGAACGGAGAAUUAUUAUUGAGAUCUUCGGAUGGAUUUAAUGAUUCUUAGUGGCGGACGGGUGAGUAACGCGUGGAUAACCUGGCCCAUACAGGGGGAUAGCAGUUGGAAACGACUGAUAAUACCGCAUAAGCGCACGGUACCGCAUGGUACAGUGUGAAAAGUUCCGGCGGUAUGGGAUGGAUCCGCGUCUGAUUAGGCAGUUGGCGGGUAACGGCCCACCAAACCGACGAUCAGUAGCCGGCCUGAGAGGGUGAACGGCCACAUUGGGACUGAGACACGGCCCAAACUCCUACGGGAGGCAGCAGUGGGGAAUAUUGCACAAUGGGGGAAACCCUGAUGCAGCGACGCCGCGUGAGCGAAGAAGUAUCUCGGUAUGUAAAAGCUCUAUCAGCAGGGAAGAAAAUGACGGUACCUGACUAAGAAGCCCCGGCUAACUACGUGCCAGCAGCCGCAUAAC
rnacentral:rRNA from 1 species